rnacentral:rRNA from 1 species
CAGAGAUGCUUUGGUGCCUUCGGGAACUCUGAGACAGGUGCUGCAUGGCUGUCGUCAGCUCGUGUUGUGAAAUGUUGGGUUAAGUCCCGCAACGAGCGCAACCCUUAUCCUUUGUUGCCAGCGGUCCGGCCGGGAACUCAAAGGAGACUGCCAGUGAUAAACUGGAGGAAGGUGGGGAUGACGUCAAGUCAUCAUGGCCCUUACGAGUAGGGCUACACACGUGCUACAAUGGCGCAUACAAAGAGAAGCGACCUCGCGAGAGCAAGCGGACCUCAUAAAGUGCGUCGUAGUCCGGAUUGGAGUCUGCAACUCGACUCCAUGAAGUCGGAAUCGCUAGUAAUCGUGGAUCAGAAUGCCACGGUGAAUACGUUCCCGGGCCUUGUACACACCGCCCGUCACACCAUGGGAGUGGGUUGCAAAAGAAGUAGGUAGCUUAACCUUCGGGAGGGCGCUUACCACUUUGUGAUUCAUGACUGGGGUGAAGUCGUAACAAGGUAAGCGUAGUGCU